rnacentral:rRNA from 1 species
CCUACGGGAGGCUGCAGUGGGGAAUAUUGGACAAUGGGGGGAACCCUGAUCUAGCCAUGCCGCGUGUGUGAAGAAGGCCCUCGGGUUGUAAAGCACUUUCAGUGAGGAAGAACGCCUGGUGGUUAAUACCCAUCAGGAAAGACAUCACUCACAGAAGAAGCACCGGCUAACUCCGUGCCAGCAGCCGCGGUAAUACGGAGGGUGCGAGCGUUAAUCGGAAUUACUGGGCGUAAAGCGCGCGUAGGUGGCUUGAUAAGCCGGUUGUGAAAGCCCCGGGCUCAACCUGGGAACGGCAUCCGGAACUGUCAAGCUAGAGUGCAGGAGAGGAAGGUAGAAUUCCCGGUGUAGCGGUGAAAUGCGUAGAGAUCGGGAGGAAUACCAGUGGCGAAGGCGGCCUUCUGGACUGACACUGACACUGAGGUGCGAAAGCGUGGGUAGCAAACAGGAUUAGAUACCCGGGUAGUC